rnacentral:sRNA from 1 species
UGUCGAUUUCCAUAUUCUAUGUAUGUCGCAAGGACGUUGACAGUGAUGUGAAAUUUUUAUAGUAACCCUAGUUUACAUCUUUUAUAGCUUAUAUCAUUGGUCAAAACCUUAUUACAAGUACAUGUAUAUGGCUUCACAGUAGACAAUUUUUCCAUCAUUGGCCACGGUUAUCAUUAUACCCCCGCAAAUGAAGUUUAGGGGGUAUAUUGGUUUCACCCUGUCCGCCUGUCUGUCUGUCCGUCUGUCUGUAGACGCAACUUUGUCCUCCCUAGAGAAUUUUUUAAUACUGCAUGGAACAGUUUGAAAAUUUGUACAUAUGUUGAACACCAUCUGAAGAUGUGCACCUGCAAUUUUUUGUAAGAUCAGACAAGAUUUAAUGAUUUUAUGGCAGUUUUCAUUUUCCUUAUUCUAUAUAUUGUACACUAAUGUUGAAAAGUUAGGGAGGUAAUCCUUACAGAUUUAAUUAAUUAAUUAAUAGUAUUAAAACACUCUAAAAUAUAUUUAUAUAAAUACAUCCAGAUGGAGGUUUUUUGUCUUUAUGUCUUAAUUAAAUUUUUUUUUUAUUUUUUAUAAGUAUUCUAUCAACUGACAAUGCAAAGUUUUUGUUUGUCAAUGAUAAAUUCUUAGGAGCUAAUAAGAACAUCAAAGACAAGUGUGGCUGAAUUCAUUUGUCCCAAGGGAGCCAUUAUCUGAGCCAUGGUUCAGAUGGAGCAUGUGUUUAGGGGAAAUUGAUAAUCUGUAAAAUGGGUGAUGGUUUUGGGGCUAUUUUAAAACUGUUUCAUGUAAACCAAAAGUUUCUAUCAUUAUAAGGAAAUAAAUAAUAUCAUUAUUAAUAAAGAAGUUAAACU